rnacentral:lncRNA from 1 species
CACCACUGUACUCCAGCCUGGGCAACAAGAGAGAGAUUUUGUCUCAAAAAAUAAAUAAAUAAAUAAAUGAAAUUCCAAAUUAUUAUAUACAAAUAUAUAUGCAGCUUUCCAAGGACAAAUGGACUGUUCUAAAAAAAAAAAAGGCCCCCACGGUGGGUGAUGCCUGUAAUCCCAGCACUUUGGGUUGGGAGGCCGAGGCAGGUGGAUCACGAGGUCAGGAGAUCAAGACCAUCCUGGCUAACAUGGUGAAACCCCGUCUCUACUGAAAAAAAGAUACAAAAAAAUUAUCCGGGCGUUGUUGCAGAUGCCUGUCAACCCAGCUACUCAGGAGGCUGAGGCAGGAGAA